GAUGAACGCUGGCGGCGUGCCUAAUACAUGCAAGUCGAGCGAACAGACGAGGAGCUUGCUCCUCUGACGUUAGCGGCGGACGGGUGAGUAACACGUGGAUAACCUACCUAUAAGACUGGGAUAACUUCGGGAAACCGGAGCUAAUACCGGAUAAUAUAUUGAACCGCAUGGUUCAAUAGUGAAAGACGGUUUUGCUGUCACUUAUAGAUGGAUCCGCGCCGCAUUAGCUAGUUGGUAAGGUAACGGCUUACCAAGGCAACGAUGCGUAGCCGACAUGAGAGGGUGAUCGGCCACACUGGAAGUGAGACACGGUCCAGACGCCUACGGGAGGCAGCAGUAGGGAAUCUUCCGCAAUGGGCGAGAGCCUGACGGAGCAGCGCCGCGUGAGUGAUGAAGGUCUUCGGAUCGUAAAACUCUGUUAUUAGGGAAGAACAAAUGUGUAAGUAACUAUGCACGUCUUGACGGUACCUGAUCAGAAAGCCACGGCUAACUACGUG
rnacentral:rRNA from 1 species